rnacentral:rRNA from 1 species
UACGUAGGGGGCAAGCGUUGUCCGGAUUUACUGGGCGUAAAGAGCGCGCAGGCGGUCGUUCAAGUCGGGUGUGAAAGCCCCCGGCUCAACUGGGGAGGGUCACGCGAUACUGAUCGACUCGAAGGCAGGAGAGGGUAGUGGAAUUCCCGGUGUAGCGGUGAAAUGCGCAGAUAUCGGGAGGAACACCAAUUGCGAAGGCAGCUCGCUGGGACGUCACUGACGCUAAGACGCGAAAGCGUGGGGAUCAAACAGG